AUGGCUUGCCUGGCUGCUAUCGGAGAUAGUUUCCUGGCCCGAGGUGCGCCCAUGGAGGAGCUCCAGGAGGCCGACGUGCUGUGGCCCGACACGCCGCCGCCGUCGCGGGACCGCCUGCCGGAUCAGCUGUACGAUUCCGCUGCCGCGGCCGCCGUCGACUUCUCGUGCGAGUCGUUCGGCAGCGACGACGACGGCCCUGCGGCGUCCUCGUCGAUGAGCUCGGCGUCCUCGUCGUCGACCGUGCUGCCGUUUGGUGGCGGGUCCUCCGGUGGCUUCCUCUCCUACCCUCCCGCCUCCGCCGGCGGGCAUGGCCGCGAGGGUGACAUGGCGGAGGAGUUCCAGGAGGCGGACGUGCUGUGGCCCGACGACGGUUACGAGCCGCGGGAGCGCGGCGCCGACGGAGGGGAACUCUGGUGGCUUUGCUGCGGCUUCGGCGCUGACGCGGCCGGCUACCACCGCGUGGAGCCUGCAGCUGGAGGUCAACGUCAAGCGUGGAGACCUCCGGUGUCGUCUCCGAUUGAUAUCCCUAUCGGACUUGCUGCCGCCGCCGCCGCCGCACGCCGUCGUCGCGCGGGGACCUUGCUGGUGCACCGUCGAUCGAUAGGGACGGGUUAA
rnacentral:rRNA from 1 species